AGAAUCAACGCUGGCGGCGUGCCUAACACAUGCAAGUCGAACGAGAAAGUGGAGCAAUCCAUGAGUAAAGUGGCGACCGGGUGAGUAACACGUGACUAACCUACCUUCGAGUGGGGGAUAACCUCGGGAAACCGAGGCUAAUACCGCAUAACAUCGCAAGAUCAAAGCAGCAAUGCGCUGGAAGAGGGGGUCGCGGCUGAUUAGCUAGUUGGCGGGGUAACGGCCCACCAAGGCGAAGAUCGGUAGCCGGCCUGAGAGGGCGCACGGCCACACUGGAACUGAAACACGGUCCAGACUCCUACGGGAGGCAGCAGUGGGAAUUUUGCGCAAUGGGGGAAACCCUGACGCAGCAACGCCGCGUGGAGGAUGAAGCCCCUUGGGGCGUAAACUCCUUUCGACCAAGACGAUAAUGACGGUACUGGUGGAAGAAGCACCGGCUAACUCUGUGCCAGCAGCCGC
rnacentral:rRNA from 1 species